rnacentral:rRNA from 1 species
UACGGGGGGAGAGAGCGUUGUCCGGAAUUACUGGGCGUAAAGGGCGUGUCGGUGGUUAGGUAAGUCAGGUGUGAAAGAUUCCGGCUUAACCGGGAAAAUGCAUUUGAUAAUGUCUGACUUGAGUGCGAGAGAGGGUAGUGUAAUUUCCACUGUAGCGGUGAAAUGCGUAGAUAUUGGGAAGAACACCAGUAGCGAAGGCGGCUACCUGGCUCGUAACUGACGCUAAUGCGCGAAAGCGUGGGUAGCAAACAGG